rnacentral:rRNA from 1 species
AGUGAACGCUGGCGGUAGGCCUAACACAUGCAAGUCGAACGGCAGCACAGUAAGAGCUUGCUCUUACGGGUGGCGAGUGGCGGACGGGUGAGGAAUACAUCGGAAUCUACUUUUUCGUGGGGGAUAACGUAGGGAAACUUACGCUAAUACCGCAUACGACCUACGGUUGAAAGCAGGGGAUCUUCGGACCUUGCGCGAUUGAAUGAGCCGAUGUCGGAUUAGCUAGUUGGCGGGGUAAAGGCCCACCAAGGCGACGAUCCGUAGCUGGUCUGAGAGGAUGAUCAGCCACACUGGAACUGAGACACGGUCCAGACUCCUACGGGAGGCAGCAGUGGGGAAUAUUGGACAAUGGGCGCAAGCCUGAUCCAGCCAUACCGCGUGGGUGAAGAAGGCCUUCGGGUUGUAAAGCCCUCUUGUUGGGAAAGAAAAGCAGCAGGUUAAUACCCCGCUGUUCUGACGGUACCCAAAGAAUAAGCACCGGCUAACUUCGUG